rnacentral:ncRNA from 1 species
AAAAUUAUUUCAUAAAAUUAUGGGAUGGAUUGACGGGAUGAAAAAAUUUUCUUAGUAUUUACUGAUGGUUUGAAAACGAAAUAUGCCGCGGUAGCUCAGUGGUAGAGCGCAUGCCUGGAUUCUUCGGGCCAUCCCGCAGUAAUGCGGGAUUGAAAACUGGGUGAAUUCGGGGAAAACUCUGCAGUUCAUGUUGCAGAACAACCCCGAGCCAAGCUCUCGGGGGCCAAGGUUCGGGAGAAGGUGUAGAGACUAGCGAGUGAGUCCCAACAAUAACCUCGCAUAAGCGCCCAGCCUCCGGUGCACACCGGAGGAUGAUAUAGUCCAAAUGCUUGGAAGAGCAUG